AACGUAGGUUCCGAGCGUUAUCCGGAUUUACUGGGCGUAAAGCGCGUUCAGGCGGUUUGGCAAGUCGGGCAUGAAAUCUCUCGGCUCAACCGGGAGAGGUUGUCCGAUACUGUCAGACUGGAGGGCAGUAGAGGGUGGUGGAAUUCCGGGUGUAGUGGUGAAAUGCGUAGAUAUCGGGAGGAACACCAGUGGCGAAGGCGACUACCUGGCCUGUUCUUGACGCUGAGGCGCGAAAGCUAGGGGAGCAAACGGG
rnacentral:rRNA from 1 species